rnacentral:rRNA from 1 species
AUGCGUAGGGGUUCUGAGAGGAAGGUCCCCCACACUGGUACUGAGACACGGACCAGACUCCUACGGGAGGCAGCAGUGAGGAAUAUUGGUCAAUGGCCGCAGGGCUGAACCAGCCAAGUCGCGUGAGGGAUGACGGUCCUAUGGAUUGUAAACCUCUUUUGUCAGGGAGCAAAGGGCGCCACGUGUGGCGCUUUGCGAGUACCUGAAGAAAAAGCAUCGGCUAACUCCGUGCCAGCAGCCGCGGUAAUACGGAGGAUGCGAGCGUUAUCCGGAUUUAUUGGGUUUAAAGGGUGCGCAGGCGGAAUGUCAAGUCAGCGGUAAAAUUUCGGGGCUCAACCCCGUCGUGCCGUUGAAACUGGCGUUCUUGAGUGAGCGAGAAGUAUGCGGAAUGCGUGGUGUAGCGGUGAAAUGCAUAGAUAUCACGCAGAACUCCGAUUGCGAAGGCAGCAUACCGGCGCUCAACUGACGCUCAUGCACGAAAGCGUGGGUAUCGAACAGGAUUAGAUACCCUGGUAGUCCACGCAGUAAACGAUGAAUACUAACUGUCCGGGCAGAAUGAUGCCUGG